GGUUAAGCGACUAAGCGUACACGGUGGAUGCCCUGGCAGUCAGAGGCGAUGAAGGACGUGCUAAUCUGCGAUAAGCGUCGGUAAGGUGAUAUGAACCGUUAUAACCGGCGAUUUCCGAAUGGGGAAACCCAGUGUGUUUCGACACACUAUCAUUACGUGAAUACAUAGCGUAAUGAAGCGAACCGGGGGAACUGAAACAUCUAAGUACCCCGAGGAAAAGAAAUCAACCGAGAUUCCCCCAGUAGCGGCGAGCGAACGGGGAGCAGCCCAGAGUCUGAAUCAGCUUGUGUGUUAGUGGAACGGUCUGGAAAGUCCGACGGUACAGGGUGAUAGUCCCGUACACCAAAAUGCACAGGUUGUGAACUCGAAGAGUAGGGCGGGACACGUGGUAUCCUGUCUGAAUAUGGGGGGACCAUCCUCCAAGGCUAAAUACUCCUGACUGACCGAUAGUGAACCAGUACCGUGAGGGAAAGGCGAAAAGAACCCCGGCGAGGGAGUGAAAAAGAACCUGAAACCGUGUACGUACAAGCAGUGGGAGCCUACUUGUUAGGUGACUGCGUACCUUUUGUAUAAUGGGUCAGCGACUUAUAUUCUGUAGCAAGGUUAACCGUAUAGGGGAGCCGAAGGGAAACCGAGUCUUAACUGGGCGUUAAGUUGCAGGGUAUAGACCCGAAACCCGGUGAUCUAGCCAUGGGCAGGUUGAAGGUUGGGUAACACUAACUGGAGGACCGAACCGACUAAUGUUGAAAAAUUAGCGGAUGACUUGUGGCUGGGGGUGAAAGGCCAAUCAAACCGGGAGAUAGCUGGUUCUCCCCGAAAGCUAUUUAGGUAGCGCCUCGUGAAUUCAUCUUCGGGGGUAGAGCACUGUUUCGGCUAGGGGGUCAUCCCGACUUACCAACCCGAUGCAAACUGCGAAUACCGAAGAAUGUUAUCACGGGAGACACACGGCGGGUGCUAACGUCCGUCGUGAAGAGGGAAACAACCCAGACCGCCAGCUAAGGUCCCAAAGUCAUGGUUAAGUGGGAAACGAUGUGGGAAGGCACAGACAGCCAGGAUGUUGGCUUAGAAGCAGCCAUCAUUUAAAGAAAGCGUAAUAGCUCACUGGUCGAGUCGGCCUGCGCGGAAGAUGUAACGGGGCUAAACCAUGCACCGAAGCUGCGGCAGCGACACUAUGUGUUGUUGGGUAGGGGAGCGUUCUGUAAGCCGUUGAAGGUGUAUCGUGAGGUAUGCUGGAGGUAUCAGAAGUGCGAAUGCUGACAUAAGUAACGAUAAUGCGGGUGAAAAACCCGCACGCCGGAAGACCAAGGGUUCCUGUCCAACGUUAAUCGGGGCAGGGUGAGUCGACCCCUAAGGCGAGGCCGAAAGGCGUAGUCGAUGGGAAACAGGUUAAUAUUCCUGUACUUGGUGUUACUGCGAAGGGGGGACGGAGAAGGCUAUGUUAGCCGGGCGACGGUUGUCCCGGUUUAAGCAUGUAGGCGGAGGUUCCAGGUAAAUCCGGUACCUUUUUAACGCUGAGGUGUGAUGACGAGGCACUACGGUGCUGAAGUAACAAAUGCCCUGCUUCCAGGAAAAGCCUCUAAGCAUCAGGUAACACGAAAUCGUACCCCAAACCGACACAGGUGGUCAGGUAGAGAAUACCAAGGCGCUUGAGAGAACUCGGGUGAAGGAACUAGGCAAAAUGGUGCCGUAACUUCGGGAGAAGGCACGCUGAUAUGUAGGUGAAGUGAUUUACUCAUGGAGCUGAAAUCAGUCGAAGAUACCAGCUGGCUGCAACUGUUUAUUAAAAACACAGCACUGUGCAAACACGAAAGUGGACGUAUACGGUGUGACGCCUGCCCGGUGCCGGAAGGUUAAUUGAUGGGGUUAUCCGUAAGGAGAAGCUCUUGAUCGAAGCCCCGGUAAACGGCGGCCGUAACUAUAACGGUCCUAAGGUAGCGAAAUUCCUUGUCGGGUAAGUUCCGACCUGCACGAAUGGCGUAAUGAUGGCCAGGCUGUCUCCACCCGAGACUCAGUGAAAUUGAACUCGCUGUGAAGAUGCAGUGUACCCGCGGCAAGACGGAAAGACCCCGUGAACCUUUACUAUAGCUUGACACUGAACACUGGUCCUUGAUGUGUAGGAUAGGUGGGAGGCUUUGAAGUGUGGACGCCAGUCUGCAUGGAGCCAUCCUUGAAAUACCACCCUUUAAUGGCUGGUGUUCUAACGUGGACCCGUUACCCGGGUUGCGGACAGUGUCUGGUGGGUAGUUUGACUGGGGCGGUCUCCUCCUAAAGAGUAACGGAGGAGCACGAAGGUUAGCUAAUCCUGGUCGGACAUCAGGAGGUUAGUGCAAAGGCAUAAGCUAGCUUGACUGCGAGAGUGACGGCUCGAGCAGGUGCGAAAGCAGGUCUUAGUGAUCCGGUGGUUCUGAAUGGAAGGGCCAUCGCUCAACGGAUAAAAGGUACUCCGGGGAUAACAGGCUGAUACCGCCCAAGAGUUCAUAUCGACGGCGGUGUUUGGCACCUCGAUGUCGGCUCAUCACAUCCUGGGGCUGAAGUAGGUCCCAAGGGUAUGGCUGUUCGCCAUUUAAAGUGGUACGCGAGCUGGGUUUAGAACGUCGUGAGACAGUUCGGUCCCUAUCUGCCGUGGGCGCUGGAGAAUUGAGGGGGCUGCUCCUAGUACGAGAGGACCGGAGUGGACGCAUCACUGGUGUUCGGGUUGUCAUGCCAAUGGCAUUGCCCGGUAGCUAAAUGCGGAAGAGAUAAGUGCUGAAAGCAUCUAAGCACGAAACUUGCCCCGAGAUGAGUUCUCCCUGAGACUAUAAGUCUCCUGAAGGAACGUUGAAGACGACGACGUUGAUAGGUCGGGUGUGUAAGUGUAGCGAUACAUUGAGCUAACCGAUACUAAUGAACCGUGAGGCUUAACCUU
rnacentral:rRNA from 1 species